rnacentral:lncRNA from 1 species
AACGGGAAGUGCUUUUUAAGGCUGAGAUUCUGUUCCCAGGUCCUGAUCAGCUCUUCCCAGCCUCAGAGAAGCCAUGGGAGCCUGCCGCAUCCAGUAUGUCCUGCUCCUCUCUCUACUGGGCUUCUGCCCCUGCUCAGAUACUCUGACCUGCCAGAUGGGAUCCAUGGUGCGUUUGGGCAGUGACCUCACUAGGAAUGAAGUUGAAUGGAUAGAACUGAAGACUGUGGAAACUAGCGGUGAAGAGAUAUGUCAGGAGAUAUUUCUGCUCAUAGAUGUAGGUACAACAGCUCUCAUAUUGGGGAGCAAAGGUCCCAGCAUACCGAGUCAUAGAAAUGUCAGAAACAUCACGGUGUUUGCCCGUGGACCUGGAUUAAAGGCUAUCAUUUUUUACCACAUAUGUGACAUUGAACUGUGCAACAGAGCUAACAGCACCAGAAUGCUAAUUGACUCCAUCCCUUCUGUAGCCCCUACUGUGCGAGGAAGGCAGCCUUGUCCUAUCUGCUUGCAUUUUAAGGGUAUUUGCAACUCCUACACCAACCUUGCCAUCUGUCCUAGAGGCACUCGAUGUUAUAAGAGUGACCUGGCACUCCAUGGAGGUAAGGGAUGAGGCUGCCUUCCCGGAUGGAGGAGACUGUGGCCAUGACUCCAGCGCCUCAGGAGGAGGGAUGAAGUCUCCUGGCUCUGAGGGAGGUGGCAUCAGUGCAAUCUUUAGCAUUUCUGGAUGUCUGGUCUAUCCUCAAAAAUUCUUAAUGAAAAAUCAAAGUUCAGUCGGGACGAUCUCCCUAUUAGAAACCCUUUUGAUGCCAAAGAGCAAGUCACCCUCACACGAACUUGUCCCGAGCAUCUUACUGACCUGCAUGUUUGGGCUCUUAGCCCUUUGUUUACAGAGAUCUGUCCUCUCUGCUGAACCCAUUUCCUGACCAUUCUUAAUCCCUCUUGGCCACCCAGACCCAGCCCUCCUCUGACUUCAAAGACCUGAGGCUGGACGCUGUCGGCCUGCGCUGUCGGGCGCCAUCAUCCCUCACCCACACACCUCUGCCCCUCAUGCUUAGACUUGGGAGCCACUGAGCCCAGCCGGCUCCAGAGCAGACAAGCACACGUUGACCACGUGUGGAAAAAUAAAGUUG